CCCACACAGUAGGUGGCUGACAUGGG
rnacentral:piRNA from 1 species